rnacentral:rRNA from 1 species
CGCUAGCUACAGGCUUAACACAUGCAAGUCGAGGGGCAGCAUGGUCUUAGCUUGCUAAGGCCGAUGGCGACCGGCGCACGGGUGAGUAACACGUAUCCAACCUGCCGUCUACUCUUGGACGGCCUUCUGAAAGGAAGAUUAAUACAAGAUGGCAUCAUGAGUCCACAUGUUCACAUGAUUAAAGGUAUUCCGGUAGACGAUGGGGAUGCGUUCCAUUAGAUAGUAGGCGGGGUAACGGCCCACCUAGUCUUCGAUGGAUAGGGGUUCUGAGAGGAAGGUCCCUCACAUUGGAACUGAGACACGGUCCAAACUCCUACGGGAGGCAGCAGUGAGGAAUAUUGGUCAAUGGGCGAGAGCCUGAACCAGCCAAGUAGCGUGAAGGAUGACUGCCCUAUGGGUUGUAAACUUCUUUUAUAAAGGAAUAAAGUCGGGUAUGCAUACCCGUUUGCAUGUACUUUAUGAAUAAGGAUCGGCUAACUCCGUGCCAGCAGCCGCGGUAAUACGGAGGAUCCGAGCGUUAUCCGGAUUUAUUGGGUUUAAAGGGAGCGUAGAUGGAUGUUUAAGUCAGUUGUGAAAGUUUGCGGCUCAACCGUAAAAUUGCAGUUGAUACUGGAUAUCUUGAGUGCAGUUGAGGCAGGCGGAAUUCGUGGUGUAGCGGUGAAAUGCUUAGAUAUCACGAAGAACUCCGAUUGCGAAGGCAGCCUGCUAAGCUGCAACUGACAUUGAGGCUCGAAAGUGUGGGUAUCAAACAGGAUUAGAUACCCUGGUAGUCCACACGGUAAACGAUGAAUACUCGCUGUUUGCGAUAUACUGCAAGCGGCCAAGCGAAAGCGUUAAGUAUUCCACCUGGGGAGUACGCCGGCAACGGUGAAACUCAAAGGAAUUGACGGGGGCCCGCACAAGCGGAGGAACAUGUGGUUUAAUUCGAUGAUACGCGAGGAACCUUACCCGGGCUUAAAUUGCAGAUGAAUUACGGUGAAAGCCGUAAGCCGCAAGGCAUCUGUGAAGGUGCUGCAUGGUUGUCGUCAGCUCGUGCCGUGAGGUGUCGGCUUAAGUGCCAUAACGAGCGCAACCCUUGUUGUCAGUUACUAACAGGUUCUGCUGAGGACUCUGACAAGACUGCCAUCGUAAGAUGUGAGGAAGGUGGGGAUGACGUCAAAUCAGCACGGCCCUUACGUCCGGGGCUACACACGUGUUACAAUGGGGGGUACAGAGGGCCGCUACCACGCGAGUGGAUGCCAAUCCCAAAAACCUCUCUCAGUUCGGACUGGAGUCUGCAACCCGACUCCACGAAGCUGGAUUCGCUAGUAAUCGCGCAUCAGCCACGGCGCGGUGAAUACGUUCCCGGGCCUUGUACACACCGCCCGUCAAGCCAUGGGAGCCGGGGGUACCUGAAGUGCGUAACCGCGAGGAGCGCCCUAGGGUAAAACUGGA